rnacentral:misc_RNA from 1 species
GGCAUAUGGAUUAUAAAUGUAGUUUUUGAGUAUAAAUUGAUUCCCGCUCCACUGUUGUGAGCGGAAUUCUAGCGCAAAUUUCUUUUUUGGAAUUUGAGGCUCGUAUUCAGUCAUUUUGGAGUGAAGCUGUGUUUUGAAUGCUAAUCUUUAGGCGCUAGGCGAUUAGCUUAGCGGUGUAAACGAAGCGGGUCGAACUCAGGCUGCUUUUUUACUGCUGUUUUUUUUUUUUUUAAAACAUAA